GAGGGCGCAAGUGAAAAAAGGCAAUCCUCCUGCUGGACACUUCCCAGCGUCUCCCUUGUCACUUACAUAGGAGACUUGCGAGGACUGGGGCAGAGCUGUGACUGAGCUCUUCCGGUUACGUCUCACCCACACGCCUGAUCAUCUCAACAUAGGAAAUGGAAGCAGGAGCUGAAACCAGAGGAGGAAGGACUAGGUCUUCAUCACUUUUCCUGAUUCGAUAGUAAAAUACCCAGCAAGUUAAGGGAGAACGCACUGUUUUCAGCUUACAGCUGCAGAGUCCAGGGUGUCA